AACCCAUAUUGAGGACAUUUCCACAGGAGCUCCUUGAACCUAUCCCAUAUGGCUCAAAUAGAGACUCCAAUUCCAUUUGUACAAAGUAGGAUAUUUUAUUCCUGAGCUU